rnacentral:rRNA from 1 species
UACGUAGGGACCGAGCGUUGUCCGGAUUCAUUGGGCGUAAAGAGCUCGUAGGCGGCCACUCAAGUCGAAUGUGAAACCUCGAGGCUUAACCUCGAGCCUGCAUUCGAUACUGGGCGGCUAGAGUCUGGUAGGGGGAUCUGGAAUUCCUGGUGUAGCGGUGGAAUGCGCAGAUAUCAGGAGGAACACCGGUGGCGAAGGCGGUUUACUGGUCUCCAACUGACACUGAACCGCGAAAGCAUGGGUAGCGAACGGG